rnacentral:rRNA from 1 species
GAACGAACGCUGGCGGCAGGCCUAACACAUGCAAGUCGAACGAAGGCCCGGAGCUUGCUCCGGUGUCCUUAGUGGCGGACGGGUGAGUAACACGUGGGCAAUUUGCCCCCGGGUUGGGGAUAACAUUUCUAACGAAGUGCUAAUACCGAAUGACAAAGUGAGUUUAUGACUUGCUUUUAAAGGUGGCCUCUACUUGUAAGCUGCCGCCUGGGGAUGAGCCCGCGUCGUAUUAGCUUGUUGGUGGGGUAACGGCCUACCAAGGCGACGAUGCGUAGCCGGCCUGAGAGGGUGAACGGCCACACUGGAACUGAGACAAGGUCCAGUCUCCUACGGGAGCCAGCAGUCUAGAAAUUUGCACAAUCGCCGAAAGGCGGAUGCAGCGACACCACGUGGAGGAUGAAGCCGUUCGCGGUGUAAACUCCUGUCAGGAGGGAAGAAGGUGCGGAUGUUAAUACCACCCGCUACUUGACGGUACCUCCAGAGGAAGCUCCGGCUAACUACGUGCCAGCAGCCGCGGUAAUACGUAGGGAGCGAGCGUUGUUCGGAUUUACUGGGCGUAAAGAGCACGUAGGCGGGUAUUCAAGUCGGUUGUGAAAUCCUCUGGCUCAACCAGAGAACUGCAAUCGAAACUGUAUACCUUGAGUCCAACAGAGGGAAUCGGAAUCCAAAGGUGUAGCGGUGAAAUGCGUAGAUAUCUUGGAGAACAUCAGUGGCGAAGGCGGAUUCCUGGGUUGUGACUGACGCUGAGGUGCGAAAGCUAAGGUAGCGAACAGGAUUAGAUACCCUGGUAGUCUUAGCCGUAAACGAUGAGUGCUAGUUGUCGGGGGACAUAGUUCCUCGGUGACGCAGCUAACGCAUUAAGCACUCCGCCUGGGGAGUACGGCCGCAAGGUUAAAACUCAAAGGAAUUGACGGGGGCCCGCACAAGCGGUGGAGCAUGUGGUUUAAUUCGACGCAACGCGAAGAACCUUACCAGCCCUUGACAUGGGCGUCGCGGAUCGCAGAGAUGCUUUCCUUCAGUUCGGCUGGACGCCACACAGGUGCUGCAUGGCUGUCGUCAGCUCGUGUCGUGAGAUGUUGGGUUAAGUCCCGCAACGAGCGCAACCCUCAUCCUUAGUUGCCAUCAGUUCGGCUGGGCACUCUAGGGAAACUGCCGGUGACAAGCCGGAGGAAGGUGGGGAUGACGUCAAGUCCUCAUGGCCCUUACGGGCUGGGCUACACACGUGCUACAAUGGCGAUGACAGAGGGAUGCAAAGGUGCGAGCCUGAGCUAAUCUCCAAAAAUCGUCUCAGUUCGGAUUGUUCUCUGCAACUCGAGAGCAUGAAGGCGGAAUCGCUAGUAAUCGUGGAUCAGCAUGCCACGGUGAAUACGUUCCCGGGCCUUGUACACACCGC